rnacentral:rRNA from 1 species
AUUGAACGCUGGCGGAAUGCUUUACACAUGCAAGUCGAACGGCAGCACGGACUUCGGUCUGGUGGCGAGUGGCGAACGGGUGAGUAAUGUAUCGGAACGUGCCCAGUCGUGGGGGAUAACGUAGUGAAAAUUACGCUAAUACCGCAUACGAUCUAUGGAUGAAAGCGGGGGAUCGCAAGACCUCGCGCGAUUGGAGCGGCCGAUAUCAGAUUAGGUAGUUGGUGGGGUAAAGGCCCACCAAGCCAACGAUCUGUAGCUGGUCUGAGAGGACGACCAGCCACACUGGAAAUGAGACACUGUCCAGACUCCUACGGGAGGCAGCAGUGGGGGAUUUUGGACAAUGGGCGAAAGCCUGAUCCAGCCAUUCCGCGUGCAGGAUGAAGGCCCUCGGGUUGUAAACUGCUUUUGUACAGAACGAAAAGGUUUCUACUAAUACUAGGAGCUCAUGACGGUACUGUAAGAAUAAGCACCGGCUAACUACGUGCCAGCCGCCGCAGUAA